ACACGGCGACACCGGCCAACAAAUGUUCUCUCAGCUUCGUCCCCAACCGGUCGCACCUCAAGCUAAUGCUACGGAGUCAUCGCCAUCUUCAAAAGCUACGGAGUCGCACAUCGUCAUCCUCAACCAAAAGAGAAUUAAAUGAUAAACAACAAGCAAUACUUGAAGAAUUUGCCAAUGAGGAAAUUAAUAAUGGAGAUACCAUGUAUUCACAGCAAGGAAAUUGGAGUGCAUAUUGUUUGAAAUCUAGACCGUGUAGACAUCUAUGGAGAUCAAA